ensembl:lncRNA
CCCGCCCUCACUGACCCCCCCCAGCCCCCCGGCCUCACUGACCCCCCUGGGGCCAGCAGCCUGCAGCUCUCUGCCCUCCAGGGGGGCGGGGCCUACGCAGGGCUGCCUUUCUUCCCGCCCUUCGGGCCCCUCCCCCCCCUGCUGGCGCUGGCCUAUCAGCAGCAGUACGAGGUCGGCGGGACCAGCAACCCCUUCCUGGUCCACGCCCCCCCGGCCCAGACCUCCAAUCUGACCCUGCCCAAACCCCCCGCCACCCCGCCCCGGAGACCACCAGGACGCUGGACUACCCGGAGCCCAGAGCCAUCCCCGAGGGUAAGGCCGUGGCCACGCCGACCAUGGAGGGGAGAGGGAGGUCCACCCAGGACACAGCCCGUGGCGGGCAGGCAGGGAGUCCAGCCAGGAGCGAGCUGCAGUAGUGGAGCCGGGAGAUGGCGACCACUUGGACCAGGUUCUGAGCUCCUUCCUUUCUGGGGGAGGGCCGGAUCCUGCGGAUGUUGUAGAGGGCAGAUGUGCAGGAUGGGGUCACCGCGCUGAUGUUCGCGGAGCAGCAUAACUGAUUGACCAGUACCACACUGAGGUUUCUGGCAGUUGGUGAAGGAGAUACAGCAAAGCUCUCGACAGUGACCAAUAGGUCCAUG